rnacentral:sRNA from 1 species
GCCAGGUGUGGUGGUGCACACCUGUAAUCCCAGUAACUUGGGAGACUGAGGCAGGAGGAUUGCAAGUUCAAAACCAGCCUCAGUAAAAGUGAGGUGCUAAGCAACUCAGUAAGACCUUGUCUCUA